CGCGUGAGUGAUGAACGCUUCGGGUUGUAAGCUCUGUUGUUAGUGAAGAUCAUGUAGGUAACUGCUGAGAGUACCUUGAUAGCUCCUAGCCAGAAGCCCACGGCUUACUACGUGCCAGCAGCCGCGGUAAUA
rnacentral:rRNA from 1 species